UACGUAUGGUGCAAGCGUUAUCCGGAUUUACUGGGCGUAAAGCGAGCGCAGGUGGUUUAUUAAGUCUGGUGUAAAAGGCAGUGGCUCAACCAUUGUAUGCAUUGGAAACUGGUAGACUUGAGUGCAGGAGAGGAGAGUGGAAUUCCAUGUGUAGCGGUGAAAUGCGUAGAUAUAUGGAGGAACACCGGUGGCGAAAGCGGCUCUCUGGCCUGUAACUGACACUGAGGCUCGAAAGCGUGGGGAGCAAACAGG
rnacentral:rRNA from 1 species